GCCUCCAAAAGUGCUGGGAUUACAGGCAUGAGCCACUGCACCCAGCCCGCCUUCCCAGUCUUUACAUAGAUGCUUAGGAUUCAAGGGGGUUUUCUUCUCAUUAGCAAGACUUAGGCACAAUCACUAUGCCUAGUACCAAAUCUCUACAUUCAGGAAAGAAGGUGCAACUUAGAAAUAUCAGUUCAUGAACCAUGGGUCAUCUCACUCUUUGGGAAAACACAGAGUCAAGCCAACUCUCUUGAUCUUCCAGGCAUACAAAACCUGCCUUGCCUCUCCCCAGUUUGAACAGUGCUUUUGAACUUUGAUGGAAAAGCCACAUUUGGAAGGUCAUACCACCCUUGACAAACUGCAGUCCCUACUGGCCAUUACACUGCAGAGCCGUGACAAUGAUGGAUCUCCUGUUUGGAAGAGAAUGACCCAGGACAAAAGGGGUGACCAAACCAUGGUCUAAGUGUGAUAUCUGAAGCUGCUUAAUCUGCAAAAGGAAACCCAGUGUGAGGAAUGGGAGAUGGAGAUGUGGAGGCCUAGUGUCUAAGGGCUGGCAUUCAGGGGAAGAAUUACAUUUGUCUGUAAUCUCAAAGGCUAGGAAGGAUGGAGCUGGGUGGAUUUGGGAUCACCAUGAAAAGGACCUAUGACUGCAGCAUCCUCGGGAGACAGCUGGAUCAGCCAGAGAGCUUCAGAAAGACACACAUCACUCUGCCAGACACACACACUGCUCCAGCUCCAGCAUCCAACAUCUGACCACAUGUCGGCAGCCACUGCUGACCUGGCUCCACCAUUUCUCCCCAGGUCUAAGCUUAAGCCGCACUGCAUUGCUUCCAUUUCUUCAUGCUUGCUCUGUUCCCUUCUACCACAGGGGCUUUGUGCAAGCUCAGCCUCAACAUGGAUCUUCCCCCUUCUUCACCUGGUCAACAGCCACUCAUUCUUCAACCUUAGUUCGAGCAUCAUCAACCUCCCCCGCUAUGUCAGUUCUCCCUGUUAGACACCCUGGCUGUUCCACAUAUCUUUUAUUCAAAGUAGUUACAUAUUAAAGCAUUCCAUUUGUGCAUACAAUUAUUGUAGAAUUACUUCCCAGCAGACAGAUGCUAUAGGAGGGAAGAGACCUUUUCUGCUUAAGUAUCUAGUGCAGUGCCUGGCCCUUAAUAGGUGCUCAACAAAAAUUUUUAAAUGAAUGCUUAAAUACCAUAUCAUGGGUCAUGUCUGGUUGCAAAAAGAUAUUCAUCAUAAUAAAAAUAAUAAACUAUAAUUAAAAUAUACUCAUCAUCAUAAAAAUAAAUGAACUAGGCAGAUACUGGUGUUAAAGGUAUCACUGCCUUUAUUGUGGGCCAUUUUAGGAUGCAAGGCACAGUAGGGGUAAACAAUUAAGAGAGACUUCUGUAGUCUAGGAAUACAAGAGCUAGUAAAUAUAUAAUGUCUCCAGCAAGAGAAAGGAGGACAAGCAAGUCGGAGCAAGCUGCCCACUGGGGUGGGAGAAGGGAAUGAUAAAAGGGAGGAUUGGAAAUAUACACCAAAAUGCACCAUUCAUACAACGUUUCUAUUCACAACUCAGAAUUCACUGAACAAAAAAUGACCAUUCUGUAUACGAUUCCAAUUAAAUGCAUUAUUGUUGUAUCUGAUUGUGCUAGUGCCUGUCG
rnacentral:lncRNA from 1 species